rnacentral:rRNA from 1 species
CCUACGGGAGACAGCAGUGAGGAAUAUUGGUCAAUGGACGAGAGUCUGAACCAGCGAAGUAGCGUGAAGGAUGACUGCCCUAUGGGUUGUAAACUUCUUUUAUAUGGGAAUAAAAUGUUCCACGUGUGGGAGUUUGUAUGUACCAUAUGAAUAAGGAUCGGCUGACUCCGUGCCAGCAGCCGCGGUAAUACGGAGGAUCCGAGCGUUAUCCGGCUUUAUUGGGUGUAAAGGGAGCGUAGGUGGAUUGUUAAGUCAGUUGUGAAAGUUUGCGGCUCAACCGUAAAAUUGCAGUUGAAACUGGCAGUCUUGAGUACAGUAGAGGUGGGCGGAAUUCGUGGUGUAGCGGUGAAAUGCUUAGAUAUCACGAAGAACUCCGAUUGCGAAGGCAGCUCACUGGACUGCAACUGACACUGAGGCUCGAAAGUGUGGGUAUCAAACAGGAUUAGAUACCCUAGUAGUC